rnacentral:lncRNA from 1 species
GUUCCGGGAUCCAGUAUGCUCUUCUAUGAAACAAAACUUAUGUUGAAAUAGCUAUACAUGAUUGACAUUGAAAAUUCAACAAUAAGAGUUUAUACCAUUUAGGCCAAUUAUGAUUUUCAGAUGAUUUCAGCUUCCCAAGUGUGAACUUCCCAUUUUGAUGUUUCAAAGUUAAACAUUCCAGCAAUUCCUGCAUAUUGUGUAUUUAUCUCCCAGUUGAUACGAUUAUCAAGAGUCUGCAUUUCCUAUGAUAAUGAUCUACUUGGUAAAGGGUUGCUUCUUACAGGGAAGCUUAUGAACCAAGAAAUCUAAUUAGUGAAAUCUAAAUCAUUCAUUCCACAUUUUACGGAUGCCAUCAUGAGUUGGUUGAACGUUAUGAAAUAUCUGGUUCAUAUAUGCCAACGGAUAUAACCAUAAUCCCGUUUUCUUUUCCUAGCAUUAGACCUAUCAAGUCAGACUUAUCACCGGGUUUGGUCUUGCAUGAGCAAAUCAACGAGUGUCACUCGUGGAGCAGAAUUUACUUACUCUUACAGAUCACCUGAAAUUACCACCAACUUUUGGUGGUGUUUGUGUUAUUCAGUCUUUAGUUUCUAUGUUGUGUUUUGUGUACUGUUAUUUUGUCUUUUUAGUCUUUUUGUUGUGUUUCCUCAUUUUACUAUUUCUAUUUGUCGGUUAUUCCCCACUCAUUUCUAUGCAUAUAUGUUUGAUUUUUUCCUUCAUUACUUUUUAUGAUUGUGUGGUUUUUUUUUUCUUCUUAUUACAAUUCCCCUUUAAUGCUUUUUAUUUUUUAUUGCUAUUUUCCUCAUAUUACUAAUUAUCACUGUAUGUUAUCAUUUGCUUAAUACUAUUCAUUACAUAUAUGCUCCUUUCCUUUGCUUCUAUUAAAUUUAUAUAUGUUAUUUUUUUUUUUUUUGAUACUAUUAAUUUUUGUAUAUUUCUUCAUUGGCAGCAGUCCUUUUGCGCCAAUUACUGUUUUUCAGGGGUAUCAUUUGCGCCAAUUUACCUGCACACAUAUCUAUCUAUAUAUUCUUAUUUUUGCUUAAAAAAUAUCAUAUUUGUUCGGAGAUAUUUCACCAUCCGUAUGGGCUUAAACUCUAUCUACUGCAAGACGUACCAUAAUAUAGAGCGGAUGCAUUCCACAGUAAUUAUCAGUAUGAACUGUUUUAUGCAUAUCAUCCGGCCUUUAAUGAUCGUCUUUUUGACAAUAAAGGGAAGUUACACGCUACUACAU